rnacentral:misc_RNA from 1 species
UCUUCGGCAGCCAUACUUGUAAAGUCUUUCUUGUAGUUCGUUUCAAGAGUGAAUGUUGUUUCAAUCAUGGCGUCGGUCGAUUUAGGCAUUUCUGCUCUUGUAUUUGAUUAUUUACUAAAAAAAGAUGCAUCUUUGGCGAUGGUUUUCCAGAAAAAAACUCAUGCGUCUCCAUUACCAAAGGGAACACCUACUCUACAGGAUGUAUUUCAAUAUUUUCAAAAGAAUUCACAGAAAAAAGUAACAAUAAAGGCACAAGCAAAAGAUAGCUCUGAUUCAAGUUCUGAAAGUGAAGAUGAGACACCGAAAAAGGUAGUACAGGUAAAUGGUAAAGUUCCACCUAAAACGCCUAUAGUACAAAAAAAAGAAUCAUCUUCAGAAGAAGAAUCUUCAAGCGAAGAUGAAAAACCAAUGCCUAAAGUUGCUCAGAAAAUGCCAUCGAAUAAUGCAGUAACACCUAAGGUAGUUCCUAAAAAAGUGGUAAAUGAUAAAGGUAACGUUAAGAGUAUGCCUGCAAAAAAAGAGGAUAGUUCGGAGGAAAGUUCCACAGAAGAAGAAGAACAGCAACAAAAAGCAAAACCAAAAUUACAAACGAAAGCAUCUGCUGUACCCAACAUUACUAAAGCAGUAAAUAUUCGAAAAGCUUCCAGUAGUGAUUCUGAUGAUUCUGACUCUGAUGACGAAGAAGAAUCUAAAGUAAAGCUUGCUACUAGUUCUACUAAUUCUUUGAAAUCUUCGUCAGCACAACAACAAAAAAAGAAACAAGAAUCUUCGGACGAAACGAGUAGUGAUUCUAAUGAAAAAGUAGUAAAACAGUUGGUCCCAACACAAUCACCAUCAAAAAAAGUUCUUACUAAAAAAAGAACGAAAAAAGAUGAGUCAGGAAAUGUAUCGAUCAGAGAAGAGUCAAAACCAAAAAUAACAUCUACGCCAAUUAAUAAGAGCAAUAUUUCUAAAAAAGAAGAAUCCUCAAGUGAUGAAUCCGAUGAUGAUUCAGAUACAAAUCAAAUGCAAUCAGCUACAAAGCAAGCUCCUGCUCAAAAAAUUGUUGCAUCUAAGAAAGGUGAAGCAGAAAAAAGGCAAUCUAAACAAGAGUCAACAUCAAGUGAAGACAGCACUAAUAAACAACUUAAAACUGGAAAACCUCAUCAGCUUGAAUCAGUGCCAACAAAAAGGCCUGCUACAUUAGCAGCAAAAAAAGCAUCAUCUUCAAGCGAUGAUAGUAGUGAAGAAGAACCUGCUGUGAAAAAGUCUGCUCCUGUUAAACAACCACAAAAUUUAGGAGUUAAACAAAAAGAAGCGUCAUCCUCCAGUGAAGAGGAAAGCAAUGAAGAAACGGUUGUUCAAAAACCACCAGUAUUGACAAAGAAAGUAGCUAAGAAGGAAGAAUCUUCUAGUGAUGAUUCUGAUGAUUCUGAUGAUUCAGAUAAUGAUGCAAAAGUAAAACUUGAGCAAUCGAAAACAUUGGUAGCAAAAACAUUAUCGAAAACAACACCAAAAAAAGAAUCCUCAAGCGAUGAGUCUGAUGAUUCUGAAGACAAAAAAUCUGCUGCAUGUGUAAAACCAAAACCUGCAAAGGUAGCAGCAAUUGCAAAAAGUAAAGAACAAGAAUCUAGUGAUGAAUCCAAUUCAGAUUCUUCUGAAGAGGAAACGCCAAAAGCUGUGCCAGUUUCAACGACAUCACUUACUCAAAAGUCUAGUAAAUCGAGUGAAGAAAGUGAUUCCAGUGAGGAAGAAAAGCCAACUGUAAAAGAACCAGAACCAAAGGUUAGUAAAACACCUGGUAAAGCUGAAAAAAGGAAAAAUACAGAGGGUCAGGGCGAAGAUCUGCCUACGAAAGUUGCGAAGAAUAAUUACACCAAUUUUGUAAAAGCAAGUAGUAGCUUUAAUGGAAAUAAGCAGCAAAGAAAUGUGCCAUUUCGUCGAGUAAAGGACGAAGAUAUUGUAUUGGAUCCAAAAUUGGCUAACAAUUCCUUCGAGGCAAAGGUCGUGGUGGAUUUAGGGGUGGACGCGGUGGUUUCGGUUUUCAUGGUGGCCGUGAUGAGGGACGUGGGGGUAAUAGAGGUGGUGGUCGUGGUCGUGGUGGAGGAGGUGACAGAGGAAGAGGUGGACGUGGUGGAUUUAGAGGGGGGAGAGGUGGGAGAGGUGGUUUUGAUAAUAGGAGGUCUUGGGGUGGUGGUAAUAAUGACAAUAAUGAUAAUAGUCAAGGAAAUGGAAAUGGAUUUAGGAAAUCGUGGGGUAAUGAUAAUGGGGAUCGGGGAGGUCGCGGUGGGGGUGGAGGAUUCCGUGGAGGUAGAGGCAGUUUUGAUAAAAGAAAAUCUUUCGACUCUGCACCUAUGCUAAAUAAAAAAGUCACCUUCGAUGAUUGAUAAAAUAACAAAGCAAUAUAAAUGUAUAUAUAAUUAUAUAUAAACAGAAAGGCGCACGAGGUUCAUGGGGAGAAAAAGCUAAUUUCGAUUUACGGCACACAAGAGGAAAGUCUUUUAGACACGAGAAAA